GUUGAGACUGCCACCUGAACACUUUGGGCUCCUCAUGCCCCUGAAUCAACGGGCAAAGAAGAGAGUUAUAGAUCCUAACCACCCAGGAGAAAUUCGGUGGCCACUACACAAACAGAUGUAUUAAUAGUAAUUAAAUUUAUAUCAUAGUCUUGAAGUUACAAGAUAUCCAACUUGAAGCAUGCAUUGGGAGAAGAAUAAAUAUCAUCCGAAGACAAGAAAAAAAACAACACGACGUUGUGUUCUACUAAAAGGAAAAAAGCCUAUUUUCAGAUGUACUUAGAAGAGAUACACCAUGUUACUUUCCUGACUCUGGGGCCAGGUGUUUGUAUUUAACUCCACGGUGAGGAGACUCAUCUUCUGACGGACCUAGCCUAUACCAUCAACUCCAGCAUCACAAGCAAAGACAAGAACCUUGCAGAAACUAUUUAACUAACUCCCACAACUGCAUAAGUAUUGUUAUCAAAUAUGAAAGGCUCCAAAUGGCUUUUAUUAUGCCCUGUUAGUGGUGAUACUGAUGGCUGUCCCACCAAUGGUGCUGCUACAAAUGACAGUCAAACAUCCACAAAAGCAACCUUUCCAAUGUUACUCAAGUUUACUUGAGUUUACUUGUCUUUUGUAAUAAA
rnacentral:lncRNA from 1 species